CUGGUCUGGUGCCCUCCGGAUCCAAUCUGUAACACUGGCGGCGGAGGAGGCGAAGAGACGACUGCGCCAGGUGGCAGUGUGGCGGCGCAAAGUGAUGGCGUGGCGGCGCGAAGCAGCGACGACGGCCACCCUCCCCGCUGCCUUCUCACCAGUAAGCUCUCGUCGAUGCUUUCAAACUUCACGGUGGUCCAUCCGGUGGCGCUGCUUGGAGGCGAGGACAUUGAGGCGCGCGAGCAACGCCUUCCGGGAGGCGUCGGCCUUGGCCUCGAACUUGGGGAGCGUGUAGCGGUGGGGAGAGAGCCACACGAGCUUGAGUGCGGGGCGGGGGCGGCGCGUGCAGAUGCCCAGCUACUGGUGCCGGGUGGGGAAUGUUGGGGUGGGAUCGUCCGGGUGGAGCGCGACGAAGGAGCGGGAGAGGUUACCGAGCGUGGUUCGCUUGGACGACGGCGGGAGCGAUGGCACGAUCUUGCAGAUGCCGAAUGGCGCCGCGACAGGCUCGAUCUUGAGGAGAUCCCUACAAUGCCGAUUAGAGUUGGGGAAGGCGAACCUCUUCCUUCUUGGGAUCCGGUACCAACUCCAAAAGCUAUGGUUGGAAAAGGCUCCCCAAGGUUCAACAUAGGUGGUUCCCCAAAGUUGCGUAGGUUCAUUCCUACAACAAGUGCUACUAAAAAGAAGACUUCUCCUAAAUGCAGUGGGGCAAAAAAGAGUGGAAGUUCUCCAAGAGUAGUGAAACAAAGAGCGGAUUGGAAUCCAGGCCUUGAGAGGUCUCUUGUUGACAUUCUCCAUGAAUUUAAAGAUAGUGGAUAUAGAGGGGGCCUCAUGGUUGUCGCCAACGUCGACGACUCUCGGGUUGUUCUGGACACCGCAUCCGACGCCACCGCCAUCACGCCGUCCAGCUCAUCGUCCACCUGA
rnacentral:misc_RNA from 1 species